rnacentral:rRNA from 1 species
CCCUUAGAUGUUCUGGGCCGCACGCGUGCUACACUGAGUGGAUCAGCGGGUCAGGUUGCGCGAAAGCGUUUCCUAAUCUUUAAAUCCGCUCGUGAUGGGGAUUGACGGUUGCAAUUUUCUGUCAUGAACGAGGAAUACCUUGUAAGCGCGGGUCAUCAUCCCGCGCUGAAUACGUCCCUGCCCUUUGUACACACCGCCCGUCGCUCCUACCGAUGGGUGAUCCGGUGAAUGAUUCGGACUUCAGCGGCUCCCCUGGGGUGCGCCGGAGAAAGUUUUGUGAACCUUAUCACUUGGAGGAAGGAGAAGUCGUAACA